AUUGAACGCUGGCGGCAGGCCUAACACAUGCAAGUCGAGCGGAGCGGCGGACGGGUGAGUAAUGCCUAGGAAUCUGCCUGGUAGUGGGGGAUAACGUCCGGAAACGGGCGCUAAUACCGCAUAUGAUCAGAUGAGCCUAGGUCGGAUUAGCUAGUUGGUGGGGUAAAGGCCUACCAAGGCGACGAUCCGUAACUGGUCUGAGAGGAUGAUCAGUAACACUGGAACGGAGACACGGUCCAGACUCCUACGGGAGGCAGCAGUGGGGAAUAUUGGGCAAUGGGCGAAAGCCUGACCCAGCCAUGCCGCGUGUGUGAAGAAGGUUUUCGGAUUGUAAAGCCCUUUAGGUUGAGAAGCGUUACCGACAGAAUAAGCCCCGGCUAACUUCGUGCCAGCAGCCGCGGUAAUAC
rnacentral:rRNA from 1 species